rnacentral:rRNA from 1 species
UACGAAGGGGGCUAGCGUUGUUCGGAUUUACUGGGCGUAAAGCGCACGUAGGCGGAUCGUUAAGUCGGGGGUGAAAUCCUGGAGCUCAACUCCAGAACUGCCUUCGAUACUGGCGAUCUUGAGUCCGGAAGAGGUGAGUGGAACUCCUAGUGUAGAGGUGGAAUUCGUAGAUAUUCGCAAGAACACCAGUGGCGAAGGCGGCUCACUGGCCCGGUACUGACGCUGAGGUGCGAAAGCGUGGGAGCAAACAGGG